AUUACAUGCCGUAUCCGGGAAGCUGCUGGAAUGGAAUGCAGCGAGGCACUCCGUGAUGAGACCGACGGCCUCCGCGUACGUCAGAGUCGGGAUGCUCCGAGCAAAGGGAGGCUGAAGUUUGCACCUCUGGGCUUCUGAGCACAGGACAAUUCUCCCCUCUGGAAUCUGGCAGCGUCCUGCAGCCUGGAUAACCUGAGUGAUUUGGUUUUCCAGCCUCAUCUCCUACGCCAGGCGUUUUAUGACUUUCUCCUGAGUGAGAGCAAUGUGGUUUGGGAGAUAAGAUCUGCCUCGGAAAGAGCAACCAACGCCGGGAUGUGACAGCGAAACUGAAGAAGUGCUGACAGAUGAAAAAUAUUUUGUUCUUCCUUUUCCAAAUCGUGGAGCAGCUCAGAUCUGUCCCUGUACCUGUCCUUUCUUCCUGGGGAGCCCUGGCAGCUUCAUGCUAAGCAGAGGCUCUGUGCCGUGUCCCCUGGUCAUGCUGGAGGCUGAGGUUAUAAAUUUCCUCCCUGAUAUAUAAAGAUGCCACCACAGAAAUGUUUCUGGAGAGGUUGCCUGGAAAUAACUGCACAAGCAGGCUUUCAGGGGCUUAGAAGGAGUCACAACUCAGGCUGUGGGAAUCAUGGAAUGGAUUGGAAGGGGCUGGAAAGGACCAUAAAGAUCAUCUCGUCUCAUCCCACCCCGGCCAUGGAUGCCUUCCACUGUCCCAGGUUUCUCCAAGCGCCAUCCAACCUGGCCUUGGACACUUCCAGCGAUCCAGGAGCAGCCACAGCUUCUCUGGGCACCCUGUGCCAGGGCCUUCCCACCCUCACAGGGAAGAAUUUCUUUCCAACAUCCUAUCUAACCCUGCUCUCUAUCAGUGUGAAGCCACCCCCCCUUGCCCUGCCACCCCAGGCUCUUGUAAAGAAUCUCUCUCCAUCGUGUCAGCUCCCUUCAGGUACUGGAAUGGCACAAUAAGGUCACCCCAAAUCUACUGCCUUUCCCCAAAAUAAUUAUUUUCCCCCUGUCCCUGCAAAGACUGUUUCUCUGGGAUCAAUCAAAGCCUAAAACAAGCAAAAAAAAAAAAAAAAAAAAAAAAAAAAAACAAAAAAACACCACAAAAAAACCCCCAAAAUAAUAAAAUCAUAGUCUUCAAUUAGAAAAUAAUUUAUAAACAUUCUUGUGUGGGAGAUGGCAUGGACAGGAUAGAAAGGGAGGAAAAAAUACCCCAAGUGGUAAAUGAAGCCUAAAAUUCACAGAUGGGGUAAAAUCUUAUAAACAUUAAUGUUAGCCUGGAGGCUUGGGAUGUUGAUUUGGAGAGGAAUGCUGCUGGUGCUGGAUAGAUCAGACUCUCAUUGACUUCUAAACCCAAUGAUGCUGGUCUUCAAACAAGCCUGACGUGCACAGAGAGUGCCACAGUGCACAGAUUUAGGUCAGAUGGGGAGGAAGAGGAGCUCUGGCUGCAAGUUUGGGGUUUGCUCUCACUAAAUGAGCUGGCUGGGAUGUUUGCCUUUGCUUCAGCACCUGACUGUGCUGUUCCAGAGCAAUAAAUGCAGCUCUUGCAUAGUUCAGGAGAUCUGAAAAUGAGAUCAAGUUUAAUACAUUGCACAACUCAGUUGAAAGGCUCCUACUGGGCUAUUUAAUAUUGGUCUGGAAUAGCUGCAGUGCAGGGCAGCAAAGCAAUCCUUUUUCCUUUGUUUUUCAGGAUUUGAGCCUUUUGCUGCUCGUGUUUUUGUAGCUAUACUCGAGAAAAACCAGUCUGGUUUUUCAGUACAACAAAAUUCAGAUGUGAACAACAGCAGAUGGGGAAUGUUCCUUGUGGAACGGUGUCACCCUGACCCCAGGGGUGUUCCUAGGAAAGGGGUAAAGCUCCCAUCUGCUUUUCUACUCCAGGAAAAGCAAAGUCUGUGUACCACUAGAGGGUGCAUCAGCUGCAAAAAACCCAGGAUUUUGUUCAGGAGCUGCUCUGUUUUGCAGCUCUGAAAUUAAUUUAAACAGCCUCAGCUAUCUGAUGUUUAGUUCUCAGCAUCAUCCAGCUCACCUGAACUUGCCCGUGGUGGGUGGCUUUGUCAACAGCAGAUAAUUUAUUUUGGCUCUUCCAAUUCCACUUGCUUGUUGUCUGUUGCAGAGCCCCAGGCAAAGCAAGAUUAUUUAAAUGUAUUGGAUACAAGGAUUUGCUGUUGUGGCACCAGAGCCUCGGUGCCUCAGCUCCCUUUGCUGGUGGGAUGAAUAGCCAAGAGUUGAGGGCAGAAGGUGGAGAUUGCUGAACCUGAUCCAAAACGAAGCAGACUGGGAAUUUCAGCUGGCUUAUGGCACUGCCUGUUCUCCUGCUUGUCUCAGCCUAGAAAAGUCCUGGAGCAAAGCAUCCUUUUCUGUCUGCACCUCCCUGCCAGACAGAUCUUCAUCUUUUGCUCUCAGGAAUUGUAUUUCUUGGAGGGUGGCAUGUUUCUAUUUAUCCAAGGAAAGGUGAUUACAGCUUAGAGGACUGAAAGAGAAUGGGAAUGUUUACAUCCAGGAAGAAAGCUUAUAAAGCCAUUUGGAGUUCUAGCUGAGAUGUAAAUUCUUCCAGCCCAACAGAUCUACCCUAGUUCCCUGCUAUUUUAAGCAGCCCCAUUAAAUAAUCCUGUUCAUAAAGCAAUCAAAGCCUCACCUGGUUCUCUGCACUGUGCUCCAUCCAAAACACCCAAAGACAAGCUGCAAAUGUAACAUGCAGAAGGGUGAAAUAAUUCUGCUUUGAUGCCACCAGACCUCUUGUGCUCCUGGCUCACAGGACACAUCCACCAAAGGCCCUGUUUGUGUCCCUGAACAAUCACAGGAGGUGUUUGUGUGGUAGGUGCAGCUCUUUUCCCCUCCAAGCCAUUGUGGGAGGGAUUGUGCCCUUCCCUGGGUGUUGUAAAAGCCAUGGGGCAGCCAGGACAGAAAUCCCCUGAAAUUCUGACAGCUCUCUCCCUGAGACCUGGGAGAUUUGGAGCACGUGCAGGUGGGAGGACAGAGCUGCAGGGAAGUCCUGGGGGAUGCUGCAAGUGCUGGGGAGCAGAGGGAGGUGUCCCUGGGACUGCCUAAAGCCUCAUUCAUGGAUUUUGUGUCCUUGUUCAGCCUCAGAUGGGAUAACACAAUCCCUGGGCUUGCCUGUCUCCUGUCCUGGCCCCCAGCACUGACCUGGGCCAGAGCCCAGCAGCUGAACCUCACUAAACUGCCUGAUUUGGAUAUUCCUGUCCCUUGCAGGUGCAGGUGGGAGCUGCACUGUCCAGGUGAGCUGACCCAGAGAAAACCCAUCCUCCUGGCUCACUCAAAACACAGAUUUGUAACAGAUCAGGACCACAAGGACAAGUGUGAGGGAGGAUGGGGCCCUUCAGAUCUGCUCCACACACAAACAUCCCAUCAGUGGUGUUUUUCUGGAUCGCUUUUUUCCCAUCUGGAAGAUUUUUGCUGCAUUCCUCUGCCCUAAGCAGCGUUCCAGGGUCUGUCCCAGUGGGUGCUUGGCUUUCUGUGGGUGCACAAGUGUAAUUUGUGCUGCAGCUCUGUGUGAGUGUUAAAAAAGACACAGAAGGGGCCUCGCCCUGUGCUCAGGAGCAGGCAGGACCCCCCAGCUCCUCCUCUGAAACCCUCCUCGGUUAGAGCUGAAAUCCAGCAGUAGAUGGCACCAGCAGGAUGGAAAAAAAAGGCUUUAAACUCCUGUAAUGCCUCCAAAUUCCCCAAAUGUUUCACAAGACACAGCUCAAUGAAAAUGUUCCUGGCAGAGGUGAAUCACCCGGAGUGGCCCAGGGUGUCCUUGCCAGGGCUGGGGACACACUCAGGAAAGCAGGACACGGAUAUAACACACUCUAUUCCAAUUUCCACGCACACAGGAGCAGUUUCUAAAGCAAACAGAGGAAGCUGCUGGGAAUUCCCUACAAACUGGACAUUGCAGGCUUCAGUGGUGCUGUCCUGGGAAGAUUCCUGUUGCUGUCUUUCCUACACAAUGCAUCCAAGUUGAAUUUCUGUCUCAAAUGUUGACCAGGACUCAUAUUUCCCAUUUCACACCUAUGGCCAUAGGGAAUAUUUGAUACAGGGAGAGCUCACAAGAUUCUCGUUUUUAAGUUUUUUGUCCUACAGAAUUAUGGCUUCAGGUUUUUAUCAAGAAUAUGCUACAGAAUGGAUAAAUAAUUGUAUAAAAUACUGAAGAAACUCAUACACAGGUGAGCCAAGCAGGACACUUCACACUAUUCUGGAGUCUUUUUUUUCUUUCCUUUUGUUUUGGACACACACAGGAAUAAAGUGAUCCAUGUCCUGAAGUGUUUGAAGUGAAAGAGAUGAGGACAAAAUAAUCAAUUCCUGUGCUUUCCUAACUAAAUAUGACUCAGGGCACCCAGAAAUGGUGAGAGAAGGAGCCCCAGGGUGAGGGUGCUGCAGGUAAAAAAUCAGCCUCCAGUUUUAGGCCCCCCUUAGGGAGGAGCUGCUGAGUGCAGGUUUCCAGCCCAGCAAAUUGCAUUUCUGAUCUGCUCCCCAGUUACUCGUGGCUUCCAUUUCCAGAGUGUAGCACAAUGCAGAUUUUAGCAGGCAGUGCAGAUGGUAUUAAAAGAUGCUUUUUUAGCUGUAGCUGCCACCAAAUGGUCUCUCUUUAAACAUUUUUAUUUUCUUCAGCUCCUAUCUGCCACUUACAUGCCCCUGUAACUUGCUGAAAGAAGUUUUUCUGUGCAGCUCUUUCCCCUGAUGCUUCCAAACUUGUUCUAGUUGGGUGUGAUUUCCCUUGGCAGCGUGGUCUGACCACCAUGUCUGAAAGUUCCUGAAUAAAUUCUAUACUCAACAGGGUGGACAUCAUAUUUUUAAUUGAAAUAAUCAUUGAAUCACUCAGUGAGCAGCUCUGCAGUGGCUGUGCUCCAGAGAUAGUAGGAGGAAUAUUAAUGUGCACAAGAAAAGGCUCUGUUUCUCCAUAGAUUGUACAGUAGGGGAAGACCUUGUUUUCUGGAUCUCUUUAACAAAGGUGUUUUCAGCGAGAAUUGCAAAUGAGCCUCUCUUCCAUGGAGGCAAUUUGCAUAUCAUUAGCCUUCCGGGUUUGUUAAUUGUUUUCACCUAGAGGAGGUGGAAGGGUUCAGUCUUUGUUUGGAAAAUGACAAUGCUUUCAGCAAGUGGCACAUUUUAUUUGUGAUAGGUGAUACAGUUUUUUUUUAACAUUUUCUGUGAACUGCUACCAAUUUUGAUGGAGAUGAUGAUGCCCUUUCAAAAGAAAAUUGAGACCUUUCCAGCAGCUCACUCAACGUUUAAUUUCCUUGUAUUUCUUUGGAUGUGGCUUUUUCAAAUAAAAGAAAUAUUUUCCUUU